AGGACGAACGCUGGCGGCGUGCUUAACACAUGCAAGUCGAGCGGAAAGGCCCUUCGGGGUACUCGAGCGGCGAACGGGUGAGUAAUACGUGAGUAACCUGCCCCUAGCUCUGGGAUAGCUCCGGGAAACCGGGAUUAAUACCAGAUACGACCACUUUAGACAUCUGUCGUGGUGGAAAGGAUUCCGGCUAGGGAUGGGCUCGCGGCCUAUCAGCUUGUUGGUGGGGUAACGGCCUACCAAGGCGACGACGGGUAGCCGGCCUGAGAGGGCGACCGGCCACACUGGGACUGAGACACGGCCCAGACUCCUACGGGAGGCAGCAGUGGGGAAUAUUGCGCAAUGGGCGAAAGCCUGAUCCAGCAAUGCCGCGUGAGUGAUGAAGGCCUUAGGGUUGUAAAGCUCUUUACCCGGGAUGAUAAUGACAGUACCGGGAGAAUAAGCUCCGGCUAACUCCGCGCCAGCAGCCGC
rnacentral:rRNA from 1 species